GUGCCAGCAGCCGCGGUAAGACAGGGGAUGCAAGCGUUACUCGGAAUUACUGGGCGUAAAGCGUCUGCAGGUUUCUUGCCACGUCUGGCGUCAAAUGGCGAUGCUUAACAUCGUCACCGUACCGGAAACGAGCGAGAUAGAGUCACUCAGAGGCAUCUGGAAUGUCGUGUGUAGGGGUAAAAUCCGUAGAUCCACGAUGGAACGCCGAAAGCGAAGGCAGGAUGCUGGGGGUGUACUGACACUCAGAGACGAAAGCGUGGGGAGCAAAGGGGAUUAGAUACCCUAGUAGUCC
rnacentral:rRNA from 1 species